rnacentral:rRNA from 1 species
UGGCGGAAUGCUUUACACAUGCAAGUCGAACGGCAGCACGGACUUCGGUCUGGUGGCGAGUGGCGAACGGGUGAGUAACAUAUCGGAACGUAUCCAAUAAUGGGGGAUAACUAAUCGAAAGGUUGGCUAAUACCGCAUACGCCCUACGGGGGAAAGCAGGGGAUCUUCGGACCUUGCGUUAAUGGAGCGGCUGAUAUCUGAUUAGCUAGUUGGUGAGGUAAAGGCUCACCAAGGCGACGAUCAGUAGCUGGUCUGAGAGGACGACCAGCCACACUGGAACUGAGACACGGUCCAGACUCCUACGGGAGGCAGCAGUGGGGAAUUUUGGACAAUGGGCGCAAGCCUGAUCCAGCCAUUCCGCGUGAGUGAAGAAGGCCUUCGGGUUGUAAAGCUCUUUCGCAAGGGAAGAAAACUUACCUUUUAAUAAAGGGUGAGGUUGACGGUACCUUGAUAAGAAGCACCGGCUAACUACGUGCCAGCAGCCGCGGUAAUACGUAGGGUGCGAGCGUUAAUCGGAAUUACUGGGCGUAAAGCGUGCGCAGGCGGUUUUGUAAGUCAGAUGUGAAAUCCCCGAGCUCAACUUGGGAACUGCGUUUGAAACUACAAGACUAGAAUAUGUCAGAGGGGGGUAGAAUUCCACGUGUAGCAGUGAAAUGCGUAGAGAUGUGGAGGAAUACCAAUGGCGAAGGCAGCCCCCUGGGAUAAUAUUGACGCUCAUGCACGAAAGCGUGGGGAGCAAACAGGAUUAGAUACCCUGGUAGUCCGCGCCCUAAACGAUGUCUACUAGUUGUUGGUGGAGUAAAAUCCAUGAGUAACGCAGCUAACGCGUGAAGUAGACCGCCUGGGGAGUACGGUCGCAAGAUUA